AUUUCUAAGUAUUUGUUUUUACUUUCGAUUUUGUCAAAUUUAUCAUGGUUUUAGUCAAUGAAUCUUUCUCUAAGUGUUGUUUAUGUAUGUUCAACUUUAAUUUGUGGGAAUUGGGAAUUGUUUCUUUCAUUAACUGUUCUGUUUCUUUGUUUAUCAGUGCCUUGUAUUAACUCCAUCUUGUGAAGGCAGAGAAAGCUAGAAGAUACAUUCCAAGAGAAUUCAAAUUGGCUGAAGCUUUUGGCUAGCUAUGAGGACAGUCCCGCCGGUGUCUUUGACGAGGCUCAACCAGUGAAUGUUCCAACUAGUUUUAAGUAGAGGGCAAUGCUGGUGGAUGAGAUUUGGCAUGCUGCAGGUGACAAUGCUUAUGAUAUUGAUUGGUAUGCCAAGCGCACUGUCCUGGCAGGAAUAUACUCAACAACCGAGAUUUAUAUGCUGACAGAUACAUCUCCUGACUUCCAUGAUACAUGGGCCUUCUUGGAUGCUCGAGUGAAAGAUGCUUUUGAUCUAAAGAAAACCAUUCAAGAGGUAAUUCUGAUUCUGUCUGUCGAGUUUUGGAACCUUCUCAUAUUAACAUGACGAGUAUACCUAAUUUCUGCUUAAAUUGUUUCCUGAAAUUUGAUCUCUACCUACUUGCAUUGCAUCCUGCAUUGCCAAUUGGUUAGAUUCCUUUCUCCCUUUUGCAUGGUAAUUCAAUGGUUUCUUUUGCCUUUUUUUUUUUGUUUCUUUUUUGCAAAAGA